GUGUGUGUGUGUGUGCGCGCGCGCUAGUGCUAUGAAACUCUGGUUUUAGAAUGAUACCAUAUUUGUAGUGAUGAAACACAAACAGAAUUUGCAGGACCAAUGGCAAAUUUGGUUUCCAUAUGAAGCAUUAUCAUCAUUCGUAACUAAAUUGCACUCUCUUAAGCAUGCUAGCACCUUUGUGGAGCACUUCACACAUUUUUUAAGACCAUACAAACAACAUUUAGUUUGUAUAUUGAUCACUGUCAAUUUUUAUA
rnacentral:misc_RNA from 1 species